rnacentral:tRNA from 1 species
GGUGGCUGUAGCUCAGUCGGUAGAGUCCCGGAUUGUGAUUCCGGUUGUCGCGGGUUCGAGCCCCGUCAGCCACCCCAA